rnacentral:rRNA from 1 species
AAGAAAUCAAAGGUCGAACAGACCUAGAAAUUAAAAAUACUGCUCCUUAAUCUAAUCUUAAUUCAACAUCGAGGUCGCAAACUUAAUUCAUCGAUAUGAACUCUCCGAAUAAAUAACGCUGUUAUCCCUUAGGUAACUUAAACUUAAAAUCCAUAAAAAAGGAUCAAAAAAACAAAAAUUUUUGAAAAAAAAAUUAAAAGUUAAAAAAAUUUUAAUGUCGCCCCAACAAAAUUUAAAUAAAAUUUACAAAAGAAAUAUAAACAAAAAAAAUUAUAAAAAAAAUAAAUAAAGUUCUAAAGGGUCUUCUCGUCCUAUAAAAAAAUUUCAGCUUUUUAACUAAAAAAUAAAAUUCCUAAAAUUUUAUUAAGAAAGUAUAUAUCUCAUCCGACCACUCAUACCAGCCUUCAAUUAAAAGACAAAUUAUUAUGCUACCUUUGUACAAUCAAUAUAUUGCAGCCAUUUAAAUAAUCAUUGGGCAGGCCAAAUCUAAAAUUAUAAUCUAUAAAAC